rnacentral:rRNA from 1 species
GGCAACCCUGACGGAGCAACGCCGCGUGGGGGAGGAAUGUCUGUGGAUUGUAAACCCCUUUUCUCAGGGAAGAAGAUCUGACGGUACCUGAGGAAUCAGCAUCGGCUAACUCCGUGCCAGCAGCCGCGGUAAGACGGAGGAUGCAAGCGUUAUCCGGAAUUAUUGGGCGUAAAGCGUCCGUAGGCGGUUUAUCAAGUCUGUCGUUAAAGACUGCAGCUUAACUGUGGGCGAGCGGUGGAAACUGAUUAACUAGAGUGUGGUAGGGGUAGAGGGAAUUCCCAGUGUAGCGGUGAAAUGCGUAGAUAUUGGGAAGAACACCAGUGGCGAAGGCGCUCUACUGGGUCGCAACUGACGCUGAGGGACGAAAGCUAGGGGAGCGAAAGGGAUUAGAUACCCCUGUAGUC